CAUGUUAAUGGAAGUUGAAGAGCACCCAGAGAAAAUGGAUAAUGUCGAAAUUACAGACACGUUGCUCGCAGCACAAGCAUUUGUGUUCUUCAUUGCUGGGUUUGAAACUUCGUCUACGACGAUGUCUCAUGCUCUAUACGAAUUAGC